GUGCUCACCUUGGCAGCACAUAUACUAAAAUUGGAACAGUACAGCGAAGAUUAGUAUGGCCCCUGCACAAGGAUGACAUGCAAAUUCGUGAAGCGUUCUGUAUUUUU